UUCUGAGUAUUACUUCAGGUACUGGUUGUAUUAAAUAAAAAACGGAAUAAGUUAUUAACACAGCCUAAUAGAGAUAUUACGGAUUUACGA